GACGAACGCUGGCGGCGUGCUUACACAUGCAAGUCGAACGGAAAGGCCCUGCUUGCAGGGUACUCGAGUGGCGAACGGGUGAGUAACACGUGGGUGAUCUGCCCUGCACUUCGGGAUAAGCCUGGGAAACUGGGUCUAAUACCGGAUAGGAGCCAUUUUUAGUGUGAUGGUUGGAAAGUUUUUUCGGUGUAGGAUGAGCUCGCGGCCUAUCAGCUUGUUGGUGGGGUAAUGGCCUACCAAGGCGGCGACGGGUAGCCGGCCUGAGAGGGUGGACGGCCACAUUGGGACUGAGAUACGGCCCAGACUCCUACGGGAGGCAGCAGUGGGGAAUAUUGCACAAUGGGCGCAAGCCUGAUGCAGCGACGCCGCGUGGGGGAUGACGGCCUUCGGGUUGUAAACUCCUUUCGCUAGGGACGAAGCUUUUUGUGACGGUACCUAGAUAAGAAGCACCGGCUAACUACGUGCCAGCAGCCGCGGUAAUACGUAGGGUGCGAGCGUUGUCCGGAAUUACUGGGCGUAAAGGGCUCGUAGGUGGUUUGUCGCGUCGUCUGUGAAAUUCCGGGGCUUAACUCCGGGCGUGCAGGCGAUACGGGCAUAACUUGAGUACUGUAGGGGUAACUGGAAUUCCUGGUGUAGCGGUGAAAUGCGCAGAUAUCAGGAGGAACACCGAUGGCGAAGGCAGGUUACUGGGCAGUUACUGACGCUGAGGAGCGAAAGCAUGGGUAGCGAACAGGAUUAGAUACCCUGGUAGUCCAUGCCGUAAACGGUGGGCGCUAGGUGUGAGGGUCUUUUCACGACUUUCGUGCCGUAGCUAACGCAUUAAGCGCCCCGCCUGGGGAGUACGGCCGCAAGGCUAAAACUCAAAGGAAUUGACGGGGGCCCGCACAAGCGGCGGAGCAUGUGGUUUAAUUCGAAGCAACGCGAAGAACCUUACCAAAUCUUGACAUCCUUUGACAACUCUAGAGAUAGAGCCUUCCCCUUCGGGGGACAAAGUGACAGGUGGUGCAUGGUUGUCGUCAGCUCGUGUCGUGAGAUGUUGGGUUAAGUCCCGCAACGAGCGCAACCCUUAAGCUUAGUUGCCAUCAUUAAGUUGGGCACUCUAAGUUGACUGCCGGUGACAAACCGGAGGAAGGUGGGGAUGACGUCAAAUCAUCAUGCCCCUUAUGAUUUGGGCUACACACGUGCUACAAUGGACAAUACAAAGGGCAGCGAAACCGCGAGGUCAAGCAAAUCCCAUAAAGUUGUUCUCAGUUCGGAUUGUAGUCUGCAACUCGACUACAUGAAGCCGGAAUCGCUAGUAAUCGUAGAUCAGCAUGCUACGGUGAAUACGUUCCCGGGUCU
rnacentral:rRNA from 1 species